rnacentral:rRNA from 1 species
ACGGAGGGUGCGAGCGUUAAUCGGAAUUACUGGGCGUAAAGCGCGCGUAGGCGGUUGGGUAAGUCAGAUGUGAAAUCCCCGGGCUUAACCUGGGAAUUGCAUUUGAUACUGCCCGACUAGAGUAUGGGAGAGGGAAGUGGAAUCUCCGGUGUAGCGGUGAAAUGCGUAGAGAUCGGAGGGAACACCAGUGGCGAAGGCGGCUUCCUGGCCCAAUACUGACGCUCAGGCGCGAAAGCGUGGGGAGCAAACAGG